rnacentral:rRNA from 1 species
GACGAACGCUGGCGGCGUGCCUAAUACAUGCAAGUAGCACGCUGAAGGAGGAGCUUGCUUCUCUGGAUGAGUUGCGAACGGGUGAGUAACGCGUAGGUAACCUGCCUGGUAGCGGGGGAUAACUAUUGGAAACGAUAGCUAAUACCGCAUAAUAUUGACUAUUGCAUGAUAGUCAGUUGAAAGGUGCAACUGCACCACUACCAGAUGAACCUGCGUUGUAUUAGCUAGUUGGUGGGGUUACGGCUCACCAAGGCGACGAUACAUAGCCGGCCUGGGGGGGGGGUCGGCCCACCCGGGACUGGGACCCCGCCCCGGCUCCUUCGGGGGGCAGCCGUAGGGAAUCUUCGGCCAUGGGCCGAAGUCUGACCGAGCAACGCCGCGUGAGUGAAGAAGGGUCUCGGAUCGUAAAGCUCUGUUGUAAGGGAAGAACGAGUUGGAGAGUGGAAAGCUCACACUGUGACGGUAUCUUACCAGAAAGGGACGGCUAACUACGUG